UACGUAGGGGCCUAGCGUUGUCCGGAUUUAUUGGGCGUAAAGAGCUCGUAGGCGGUUCGGUAAGUCAGGUGUGAAAUCUCCACGCUCAACGUGGAGGCGCCACCUGAAGCUGCCGUGACUAGAGUCCGGUAGGGGAGUGUGGAAUUCCCGGUGUAGCGGUGAAAUGCGCAGAUAUCGGGAGGAACACCAGUGGCGAAGGCGGCACUCUGGGCCGGAACUGACGCUGAGGAGCGAAAGCGUGGGGAGCGAACAGG
rnacentral:rRNA from 1 species